UUUGCAGCAUCCAUCCCCCAUCAUCUACAUUCGGUAUUUCUCCUAAUGUUAUCCCUCCCCAAUCCCCCUAACCCCUGCUAUCCUUCCCCUAACCCCCAACCCCACAACAGGAUUUUAGUGUAAACUUCCGGCUGUACUGAAGUUUAAAAAAAAUAACACUUUUAGAGCGAGAUAUUCACAAUAAAAGAAAUGUCGUGAGACUUUCCCUUUUAGCUGUGCUAGGUUAAAUGAAAGUAGACUUGCCCUCCCACUGAAAUAAUCGUACAACUAGAUAAAAUACAGCUGCACUUUUCAGUCACUGAACAGCAAGCAGUAUGGGGCAUGGUCCUUGAUAGAAGAGAAACUCAAGAGGUAAGUCUCAGGAUAGCCCAGCGUUGUACUGAGUGUGCAUUCUCCAGUAAAAGCACAGGUUAUUUGAUCUCAGGCAGCUUGGUGGUCUCACUAAAUAGAUACACAUAUGCAGCUUGGUGGUCUCACUAAAUAGAUACACAUAUGUAUGGGUUCCAGGUUGCUGAACUGGUUGGAAUUUGCAGGGCAUGAAAAUUCAUAGCUGAUCUUUGGUUGAGAACUAUGUUGGACUUGAGAAGACUCGGUGGCACUUAGUUAAAAGCCCUCAAGUUGAAGGGCAAUACCAAAGGCUGUAGAGUGCUUAGAUACUUCCAGCAUAUACAGACUGGAUAUGCCUCUUUGAUCAUGGCAGACAUUCAUGUGAGAUCCCAGAAAGGCCAUAAAUACCCCUUAUAUCACAGUCCUGCUCGAGGACUAAGAUCAAAACCCAGAUAGGUCCACUGUAACAAAGAGUAAACUCAAACAAGACAGGAAUCAAAGGGUCCAUCAGUAAUUCAACUGGCAGCUAGAAAGAUACUCAAACAAGAAAGGAAUCAAAGGAUCCAUCAGUAAUUCAACUGGCAGCUAGAAAGAUACUCAAACAAGACAGGAAUCAAAGGGUCCAUCAGUAAUUCAACUGGAGGCUAGAAAGAUACUCAAACAAGACAGGAAUCAAAGGGUCCAUCAGUAAUUCAACUGGCAGCUAGAAAGAUACUCAAACAAGAGAGGAAUCAAAGGGUCCAUCAGUAAUUCAACUGGAGGCUAGAACGAUACUCAAACAAGAGAGGAAUCAAAGGAUCCAUCAGUAAUUCAACUGGGGGCUAGAACGAUACUCAAACAAGAGAGGAAUCAAAGGAUCCAUCAGUAAUUCAAC
rnacentral:lncRNA from 13 species